rnacentral:rRNA from 1 species
UACGUAGGGUGCAAGCGUUAAUCGGAAUUACUGGGCGUAAAGCGUGCGCAGGCGGUUAUGUAAGACAGUUGUGAAAUCCCCGGGCUUAACCUGGGAACUGCAUUUGUGACUGGCAAGCUAGAGUAUGGCAGAGGGGGGUAGAAUUCCACGUGUAGCAGUGAAAUUCGUAGAUAUCAGGAGGAACACCGGUGGCGAAAGCGGCCCACUGGCCCGAUACUGACGCUCAUGUUCGAAAGCGUGGGGAGCAAACAGG